rnacentral:tRNA from 1 species
GCCCGCGCUGGCCCACGCGGCCGGCUUCUGGUCCUGACCCAGGUGCGGGCGGGACCGGUUCGGGGCCGGCUGCGGGUG